rnacentral:rRNA from 1 species
GACGAACGCUGGCAGCGUGCUUAACACAUGCAAGUCGAACGGAAAGGCCCUGCUUUUGUGGGGUGCUCGAGUGGCGAACGGGUGAGUAACACGUGAGUAACCUGCCCUUAACUUUGGGAUAACUUCAGGAAACUGGGGCUAAUACCGGAUAGGAGCUCCUGCUGCAUGGUGGGGGUUGGAAAGUUUCGGCGGUUGGGGAUGGACUCGCGGCUUAUCAGCUUGUUGGUGGGGUAGUGGCUUACCAAGGCUUUGACGGGUAGCCGGCCUGAGAGGGUGACCGGCCACAUUGGGACUGAGAUACGGCCCAGACUCCUACGGGAGGCAGCAGUGGGGAAUAUUGCACAAUGGGCGGAAGCCUGAUGCAGCAACGCCGCGUGCGGGAUGACGGCCUUCGGGUUGUAAACCGCUUUCGCCUGCGACGAAGCGUGAGUGACGGUAAUGGGUAAAGAAGCACCGGCUAACUACGUG